rnacentral:rRNA from 1 species
UGGGGAAUAUUGCACUAUGGAGGGAACUCUGAUGCAGCGACGCCGCGUGAACGAAGAAGGCUUUCGAGUCGUAAAGUUCUUUUAUAUGGGAAGAUAAUGACGGUACCAUAAGAAAAAGCCCCGGCUAACUACGUGCCAGCAGCCGCGGUAAUACGUAGGGGGCUAGCGUUGUCCGGAAUCACUGGGCGUAAAGGGUUCGCAGGCGGAAAUGCAAGUCAGGUGUAAAAGGCAGUAGCUUAACUACUGUAAGCAUUUGAAACUGCAUAUCUUGAGAAGAGUAGAGGUAAGUGGAAUUUUUAGUGUAGCGGUGAAAUGCGUAGAUAUUAAAAAGAAUACCGGUGGCGAAGGCGACUUACUGGGCUCAUUCUGACGCUGAGGAACGAAAGCGUGGGUAGCAAACAGG